GUUAUUAUUACUAUUGUUAUUUUAUUUAUUUAUAUUGUUGUUACAUGAGAAAAGUUGUUUUUAAGAUUUCGCAAAUAUUGUAAUUGUCGCGUGAAGCAUAGACGCAGCUGUUACGCCGUCGACGAAACGCAGCAGUUGCCGUCUUGGUAAGCCACCCGUUUCUCCGUUGCAACGUCAAUGUCAGAAUCGCGCACCAAAUGUGCCGCAAGCAAGACUCGUCAAUGGCACCUGUUUACAAAUGUUCCAAAUACCAUAAAACGAUGCAACUGUCACCAGCAAGAAGAUAAAACCGGUGUGGUAUAAAAAUUGACGGUUGAAGAGCUUUCGCGACCUACGAAAUGUUUCGAGUAAAAAAGAAUAUUCGACUUCAACGGACGUUCGGAAAUUUUACGUUCUUCGAUGCUACACGUCGCACAAAUAAAUUAGAACGGAUAAGAAAGAAGAGGACCCUAGUCCAGGUGGCUCGAGAAAAAUGGUUAAAGAAAAUGACUUUGCUAUUGAACCUGCGGUUUCAGGUUGAGAAAGAGAGAAGAUGCGCUUAGUGCGGAAGAGAAACCUAAAAGGUCCAUAUGUGUCCAGAUGUUCGCCAGAUGUAGAAAACUAAGACAAUGCAAAAAGAACUAACGCGAUUCUGAUGCAAUUCCCACCGUCUGUGACGGAGUGAGUGGUUUGGUUACAUCGAAACGUUCGAAUUAACGUCUUCGGGGAGGUAUAAAAUCUACAUCAAAGAGAUAUGAAGUUGCGCGACGUUACAACCCCGUCAACUGUCGCGCGCGUUGAUAAAAAAAAAAAAAAUGCUUUACGGCCGCAGAAAGGGCUUCAGCAGGAACUUCUCAAAUUUCCUCAGCUGGAGGCUUCAUAUCUUCGCAUUUAUCUUCAACCGCACAAUUAUAAUCGCACAAUUAUAUAGCUGAUGGAACAAUUUUAAUCUCGCAACUUAUCGCUUAUUGACUUACUUUUAUCUUCAAAAAAAAAUGUAAAAGAUUUUAUCUUCAGAAAAUAUUUAUCUAAAUGGCACAGCUGGAUAUAUUUUACAUACCUAUCAGUGAAAUAACAUCACCGGCGAUACGUAACGGACUUCAUCAAAGUCUGCCAUCAAGUUCUUGUAAGAAAAUUCUCUAAAACAAUGUCCGGAUAAACAACAUUUCCGUUCACCUUGGGAAGACGUCCGGCGAACAUAGAUUGGAUUAUUCAUUAAAAGAAAGUAUAUUAAUUUUGCGUGACAUUACGCGUGUGUGAAAUUGUGUGCGAAGUAGCAAAAAUUUA